rnacentral:lncRNA from 1 species
CUAAAUCAAUUUAUUUUACAUUAAACAUAUAUGAGAAAAUGAAUUCCUGUCUUUUAAAAAAUAAUUGUCUCCACAAGUUACACGUACACUGAUAGGAUUUUAAGGACACCUGAGUAUUUGGAUUUCCCUUUUUAGAAUGAUUACAUUAAAUAUAACCUGAAAAUAUUCCACAUAGCCAAAAGUUAAAAAUUUAAAACUUUUAGUGCUGUUAAAACUAAAUGCUGUUUUAAAAAAAUCCAGAAACUGAACUUCGUUACAUAAAAUGGGCUUAGCUAAAUAAAACAAUAUAAAUGCCUUUUUUAAAAAAGCAUGGGCCAGGUGCAGUGGCUCAUGGCUGUAAUCCCAGCGCUUUGGGAGGCCAAGGUGGGCAGAUCACUUGAGGUUAGGAGUUCAAGACUGGCCUGGCUAACAUGGUGAAACCUCUUCUCUACUAAAAAUACAAAAAUUAGCCAGGCAUGGUGGUGGGCACCUGUAAUCCCAGCUACUCGGGAGGCUGUGGCAGGAGAAUCACAUGAACCCAGGAGGUAGAGGUUGCAGUGAGCCAAGAUCGCACCACUGCACCCAGCCUGGGUGACACAGCAAGACUCUAUGUCAAAAAAAAAAAAAAAUCACGGUUAAGUUGUCCAAUGCAUCAAUUUAUUCAACUAAUGUUUAACCAGUACCUACAGGCAAUCUACUCUGCUAAUUACUGGAAAUGCAAAGACAGAUACAAUGUCUCUAAAAUUUGGAAUGUGUCUGUGUAAGAAUUUAAAGCAUAAAGAAAUGCCCCUCAAUAUAAUGAUAUAACUUGUUGAAUUAAAAUAGUUCAGCUGUCAGUUAUUGAAAACUAGUAAAAAGACUUAACUUUCACCACAAUCUUUAGUAAAACUUAGAAUGAGACUUACUUCUACUUAUAGUCUUGGUUUAAAAAGCAUAGCACACUACAUCAAGUAGGCCCUAGGCAUUCAUAUUUGUUUGCAGAAUAAAUAUGCUAUGGUCCAUUUCUCAGCAGUCUAACUCUGUAAGGCAGUUCUUAUAUUUUAAGUGUCUAAAACACGUGUCUUCUUGAUACAGGAGGAAAUACUGAAUUAUUCAUAACACAGAUGAAAGUAUUUUUCAUCUACUUAUAUCCACCCUUCUUAAAAAGCAUGCCUUCAACCCCCAUUUGCAUAGCUCCUCUGCUAACUUUUAGCCAUUCCCUCUUAUGAAUGUACUGCCCUCUUUGUCUGAAGGCAUCUGUCUCCAUCAACAUUUCAUUUCUUACAGGAGCAGGGGCAGUGAGCUCUCCAGUUCAUUCAGCCUUAAGUAGAGGAAGGGGCCCCUCACAGCUCCUAAGUUAGCCUUCUGGUACUCUUAGCAGAGUCUGGUACUCUUAGCAGAGUCUGCUACCCCAGGGCUGCAGAGUCUACCUGGGUUAGGUGCUAGUUGUUUACCAGGGUUCAGCAUCAGUCUGAACUGAGCUUCUAUACAGCAAGUGGCCACUAAGUGCCUUAGUGGUUUCUGGUUACACCUGGGGAACAGGGUCCUUAAUAUCCUAAAAGAAUAUUUUUAUACUGAUAGUUAUUUUAUCCACGUAAAAUAAAUCACUCAUUUAAUUAAAUAGUUUUAUAAAAGAAAAAUUAUUUAUAAAAGAAAAACUAUUAUAAAUAAAUAAUGAAAUUCAUAAUGAAAUUGAAUAUUUAUUUGAAUUUCUCCUGGUAAUAGCAC